CCCUUAGAUGUUCUGGGCCGCACGCGUGCUACACUGAUGAAUGCAACGAGCUCUACCCUUGACCGAAAGGCCCGGGUAAACUUGUGAAACUUCAUCGUGAUGGGGAUAGAUUAUUGCAAUUAUUAAUCUUCAACGAGGAAUUCCUAGUAAGCGCGAGUCAUCAGCUCGCGUUGAUUACGUCCCUGCCCUUUGUACACACCGCCCGUCGCUCCUACCGAUUGAAUGGUCCGGUGAAAUCUUCGGAUUGCUGACCAAGAUCCAGCAAUGGAGCUUGGUUGCGAGAAGUUGAUUAAACCUUAUUAUUUAGAGGAAGGAGAAGUCGUAACA
rnacentral:rRNA from 1 species